rnacentral:rRNA from 1 species
CAGCCGCCGCGGUAAUACCGGCGGCCCGAGUGGCGGCCACUAUUAUUGGGCUUAAAGCGUCCGUAGCCGGGUUGGUUAGUCUCCCGGGAAAUCUGGCCGCUUAACGGUCAGAAUUCCGGGAGAUACUGCCAGCCUAGGGACCGGGAGAGGCCGAGGGUAUUCCCGGCGUAGGGGGGAAAUCCUAUAAUCCCGGGAGGACCACCUGUGGCGAAGGCGCUCGGCUGGAACGGGUCCGACGGUGAGGGACGAAGGCCAGGGGAGCAAACCGGAUUAGAUGCCCGGGUAGUCCUGGCUGUAAACGAUGCGGACUUUGUGUCGGACAAGCUAUGAGCUUGUCCGGUGCCGGAGGGAAACCGUUAAGCCCGCCGCCUGGGGAGUACGGCCGCAAGGCUGAAACUUAAAGGAAUGGGCGGG